rnacentral:lncRNA from 1 species
CCUUGCUCUCUGUCACCACUAUUGCUUUUAGUAAGAUUCGUUAUUUUAAGCUUCACAACAUCCCUAUGAGAUAAGUACUUUUAUUUCCAUUUUAUAGAUAAAACUGAGGUCCAGAGAGGUUAAGUAACUUGCCUAAGGAUGAAAACCCGAUUCUGUCCUAUUCCUGCUCAAAUCAGGGAUGAAACGUCUUUAAUUUUGUGGAUGUGGUGUGAUGGUUUCAUAUGCUACUUAAUUUGCUUUAUAGUCUGAGAUUAUGGUCACGAUAUAAGACAGUAUUUCUCUGGUCUCCCUAUUAGUACUACUGAUUAUAUGGCCACAUAGGAUAGAAAUUUUCAUUUUGAUUUCUAAGCUUGGAGACUGUUGUGAAAUACCAGUUCUGAAUUUUUGAACCAUGAGAGGAAGUUUGGCUUGAUGAUUUGUGCAAACUUUUUCCCUUGAAGAUGUUUUUGUCAUAAAAUUUAUCAGUGAUUAAGGGAAAUUAUCUAAAAUGAGAUUUCAAAUUAGAAUCUAUUGAGUCACUUAGUAUUCAUUAAUUACCUUAUAUGUUUAUAUGAGGACCAAAAUGAAAAAUGGUUUUCUUAAAUGUUCUUGUUGUUGGAUUGUUUUGUAUAUACAGUUAUGUGCUUAUUCAGUUGAAAAAUUUUAGAAUACAAAAAUAUUGCCAAAAGGCUUAGGAAGUAUCUCUUAGCUUCAGUGGGUUGUCUGAUCCUCUUGAAGUUAUAUACAGUAUUUUUAA